CCUACGGGUGGCAGCAGUGAGGAAUAUUGGUCAAUGGUCGAGAGACUGAACCAGCCAAGUAGCGUGAAGGAUGACUGCCCUAUGGGUUGUAAACUUCUUUUAUAUGGGAAUAAAACGCUCCACGUGUGGUGUUUUGUAUGUACCGUAUGAAUAAGGAUCGGCUAAUUCCGUGCCAGCAGCCGCGGUAAUACGGAGGAUCUGAGCGUUAUCCGGAUUUAUUGGGUUUAAAGGGAGCGUAGGUGGAUUGUUAAGUCAGUUGUGAAAGUUUGCGGCUCAACCGUGAAAUUGCAGUUGAAACUGGGAGUCCUGAGGACAGUAGAGGUGGGCGGAAGUCGUGGUG
rnacentral:rRNA from 1 species